AUGAAGAUUGAGGAGGUGAAGAGCACCACGAAGACGCAGUGCAUCGCCUCCCACAGCCACAUGACCACAGGGUCUGGGGCUAGACGAGUGGCCUGGCCAAGCAGGCGGCUUCGGGGCUCGUGGGCCAGGAGAACGCGAGAGAGGCAUGUGGCGUCAUUGUAGAAUUAAUCAAAAGCAAGAAAAUGGCUGGAAAAGCUGUCUUGUUGGCGGGGCCUCCUGGAACUGGCAAGACAGCCUUGGCCCUUGCUAUUGCUCAGGAGCUGGGCAGUAGUAAAGUCCCAUUCUGCCGGAUGGUGGGUGGCAAGGUAUACUCAACUGAGAUAAAAAAAAAGACAGAGGUGCUGAUGGAGAACUUUUGCAGGGCCAUUGGGUUGUGUAUAAAGGAGACUAAGGAGGUUUAUGAAGGGGAGGUGACAGAGCUGACUCCCUGUGAGACAGAGAACUCCAUGGGUGGGUACGGCAAAACUAUCAGCCAUGUGAUCAUAGGGCUCAAGACUGACAAAGGAACCAAACAGCUGAAGCUGGACCCCAGUAUUUUUGAAAGUUUGCAGAAAGAAUGAGUAGAGGCUGGAGAUGUGAUUUACAUUGAAGCAAAUAGUGGAGCUGUGAAGAGGCAAGGCAGGUGUGACACCUAUGCCACCGAGUUUGACCUUGAAGCUGAAGAGUACGUCCCUUUGCGAAAGGGAGAUGUGCAGAAGAAGAAGGAAAUCAUACAGGAUGUGACCUUGCAUAACCUGGAUGUGGCUAGUGCACGGCCUCAGGGUGGGCAAGAUAUUCUGUCUAUGAUGGGCCAGUUGAUGAAGUCAAAAAAGACAGAAAUCACAGAUAAACUGCGAAGGGAGAUCAACAAAAUGUUGAACAAAUACAUUGACCAGGGCGUGGCCAAGCUGGUCCCUGGAGUACUCUUUGUCAAUGAGAUCCAAAUGCUAGAUAUCGAGUGCUUUACCUCCCUGCACCGAGCCCUGGAGUCCUCCAUCGCCCCCAUUGUCAUCUUUGCAUCCAACCGAGCCAAUUGUGUCAUGGGGGCACUGACGACAUCACUUCUCCACAGGGCAUCCCGUUGGACCUGUUGGACAGGGUGGUGAUCAUCAAGACCAUGAUAUAUAUGCCACAGGAGAUGAAGCAGAUCAUUAAGAUCUGAGCCCAGACCGAAGGCAUCAACAUCAGCGAGGAGGCACCGAACCACCUCGGGGAGAUUGGCACCAAGACCACUCUGAGGUAUUCGGUACAGCUGCUGACCCCAGCCAACCUGCUGGCAAAGAUUAACGGCAAAGACAGCAUUGAGAAGGAGCACGUGGAAGAGAUCAGUGAGCUCUUCUAUGAUGCCAAGUCCUCUGCCAAGAUUUUGGCUGACCAGUAGGACAAGUACAUGAAGUAA